rnacentral:rRNA from 1 species
AUGUUACCUAAAAAACAUCUAUUUGGCUGUGAGAAAAGAAACAACAAGAAAAGAGUAGACAAGUUGAUUAAAUCUCAGGAAGGCGCUAUGGAUAUGUUUGUCUUGAGGCCUGGUGCUGCUACAAAUUCAGAGCAAUUAUAUAUCACAAAUGGUGAAGAAAAACCUGAUGAUACUAAGAAUGCCGUUGAGGAAAAUCAUGUCGAGAAAAAUAAUGCUGCGGAAAAUGAUGCCGAUCAGCACACGGAAAAUUUUAGUGACCAUGAGAAUCUUGGAAAUGCAGAUGAGCAGGGUUCUUCUUUUGAUAUAUAUGAUCCUAGAACUUGGAAUAUUCUUGACAAUAAAUCAAGAGAUAUUCUCAUUGAAAAAGGACCUAUAAAGGAAUACAAUCUUGUGUUUCCUGAAGAUGAAAUUAGUGGCAGGCAUUUUUCAUAUGAUUACUACACAAGAAAGUUAAGGAAUGGCGAGUUCAGUGAUCGGAGGUGGUUAGUGUACUCUAAACAUGUGAAUAAAGUCUACUACUUUUGUUGCAAAUUGUUUAAAUCUGGAAAAAGAAAAAGUCUGCUAGCAUCCGAGGGAUUGAAGGAUUGGAGACAUCUUAGUGAGAAGCUCAAAUUACAUGAGAAUAGUGUUGAGCAUAUCACUAACAUGAAUACUUGGAAUGAGGUAAGACUGAGGCUAAGUAAGAAGGAAACAAUUGAUAAAGACAUGCAACAAGAGAUUGCAAGGUAGAAGGAGCGAUGGAGACUUGUUUUCAUUAGAAUUGUUGUUGCUGUGAAAUUUCUUGCUAAACAUAGUCUGGCUUUUCGAGGAUCGAAUGAGAAAUUAUAUCAAGAUAACAAUGGAAAUUUUUUGGGAGUAAUUGAAAUGAUGGCAGAAUUUGAUCCUGUAAUGCAAGAGCAUCUUUGGCGCAUUAAGAAUAGUGAAAUCCAUCAUCAUUAUCUUGGCCAUAAUAUUCAGAAUGAGUUAAUUUCCCUUCUUGUUUGCACUGUUAAAUAUUCUCUGUUGAGGAUAAUUAAGGAUGCAAGGUAUUUCUCUGUCAUCUUGGAAUGUACACCUGACGUGAGCCAUCAAGAACAAAUGACUCUAAUUGUGAGGUGCGUAAACAUGUCAAGUACUACUACAAAAAUAGAGGAGUUUUUUCUAGAGUUCUUGAAGGUGGAUGAUACAUCCGGACUUGGACUUUAGAAUGUGUUAAUAGAUUCACUUAAAUCUGUUGGUUUGGAUGUUAAAGAUGUUCGUGGACAAGGGUAUGACAAUGGUUCGAACAUGAAGGGAAAACACCAAGGGGUACAGAGCAGACUACUUGAAACUAAUCCAAGAGCAUUAUUCAUGCCAUGCGCUUGUCAUAGCCUGAACCUUACUCUUAGUGAUAUGGCAAAAUCUUGCAGUAAAGCUGUUACCUUCUUUGGUGUCGUGCAAAGAAUUUAUAUAUUGUUUUCAAGCUCUACUAAAAGAUGGCAGCUAUUGCUUGAUCAUGUUCCAAAAAUGUCAGUUAAGUCUUUGUGUAACACUUGA